ensembl:miRNA
GUUGCAGUGUGUCUGCCUAUCUACACUUGCUGUGCAGAAUAUCCUCCAACCUGUACAGCAGGCACAGACAGGCAGAUA